AAUGAACGCUGGCGGCAGGCCUAACACAUGCAAGUCGAGCGGCAGCGGGACCUUCGGGUCGCCGGCGAGCGGCGGACGGGUGAGUAAUGCCUAGGAAUCUGCCUGUUAGUGGGGGAUAACGCGGGGAAACUCGCGAUAAUACCGCAUACGUCCUACGGGAGAAAGUGGGGGACCCUCGGGCCUCACGCCAACAGAGGAGCCUAGGUCGGAUUAGCUAGUUGGUGGGGUAAAGGCCCACCAAGGCGACGAUCCGUAACUGGUCUGAGAGGAUGAUCAGUCACACUGGAACUGAGACACGGUCCAGACUCCUACGGGAGGCAGCAGUGGGGAAUAUUGGACAAUGGGCGAAAGCCUGAUCCAGCCAUGCCGCGUGUGUGAAGAAGGUCUUCGGAUUGUAAAGCACUUUAAGUUGGGAGGAAGGGCGCUCGGUGAAUACCCAGGCGUCUUGACGUUACCGACAGAAUAAGCACCGGCUAACUUCGUGCCAGCAGCCGCCGUAA
rnacentral:rRNA from 1 species